rnacentral:piRNA from 1 species
UAGCAAAAAAUGGUCAUUAUGACUCCUUUA